rnacentral:lncRNA from 1 species
UGAAACUCAAAAGCAGCCAACUAUUAGUGUUAAAAUUUGUAUUAUUAAAAAUACUCGAAAUAAAAAGCACAAUAACAUUAAAAAACAAGGCAAAGCAAUUGAAGUUUGAUAUGCAUUAGCUCACAUUUCAUCAACAUUUGGGUGAUAGAUCUUGUUGACAAAGCCAAUUGAUGGAGAUUUAUAAGGAUAUGCAUCAGGCAGUUCUACUCUUAUCCUCCACACCCCUCCCUGAUAAGGACCUGGUACCAAAGAAAACAACAAAUAAAGAGAAUAACCUCUUUGUAAUACUCCUACAACUAAUCUAUGAAUAUAUUUUAUCCUCACUGAGGAAAAUUAGUGAACAACAGAGUUGCAGCUCAUAGGAACCAAUAACUCAGAUAACAGGAAUACGAUUCAUCACAAUCACACUCCAUCCUACGCUAACAGCAAGUAGACGUCUGGGCAUGUGUAGGUGAUCAUAAUUAUUGACUACAAAAUCAGAAAGAAAUAGCAAAGAAGAUAAGGGGAAAAAAAGUAGAAAUUUCAUUUGAUACAAUUGACCAGUACAAAUCUACAGCUCAAAGCAUCUAGACAAGGUCAACACAGUUAAACAAACAAUCAACUUAAAAAAUGAAAAGAAUCCACACAGAGAACAUCAACUAAACUUCAAUGAAACACAAAAGGAACCAAAUUUAAUCAUAUGAAACUGCAAAAGAAAAAAUGAGUAUAGAAGAUUGUACUGUCUUUUGGUCCGUUGAAUUCCACAUAAAACUCUUGCAUGCCAUCAUUGACCAUCUCCACCUUGUAAUCACUCAUCAUCCUAGUUCAUUAAAAUCAAAACACAAAAAAAUUUUUAAAAAAAAGGAAAAAAGGGGAAUCCGAUAAAGAAUCAUUUGAUUUAAAUAGAAUUACAGUUUCAUCAAAUCCAUCUCCCGGCGUUUGCUUGGAGAAGACAUUUUCGGCUUUGAAUUCUUUUUCCAGCGAGAUAGUGAGAUGAUAAUAGAGAAAUAGCUUUUCCCCAAAAGAAAAUAGAGACCCAGAAAGAGUUCAGACAAGAAUGAGGGAAACUAGCGAGUAUUUAUAUGCAGUCUCCAUACUCGAGCCCACACACUGGUAACUUCCCACCUUACUCUUUACUAUGAACAGAGCAAGCAUCAGAUUUUCUCAAGUUCAAAAAGCAUAAAAAAAAACAUGGUUUUAUCAUUUUAAUUUUAUUAAUUACGUUCCUAAUGUUUAAUAUUAAUAUCACCAUCCUAUCAUUUUUUUUAUUCUUUUUUAAGUUUUAAAUCAUUUAUGUAAAAUAUUUAUAAAUGAAAAAAAUAUACAUGGUAAACAAUUUAAGAGUUUUCAACCAUUCUUUGUAGCUACCGUCUAAAAUAAAUUUGAAAAAAUUACUCUGUAUUUAGUCUGAGUCAAAAUAUUAAUAGUUAAAUUUCAAAUGAAUAAUCUAAAAAAAUUAAUUCUUAUAACAUUUUUCUAAAUCAAAUUAUUAAAAUCGUUAAUAAUUAUUAGUAAUAUCUAAACCCAUUAAUAUCCAAACCCAUCACUAAUUCAAUUAAAUUAAUUAGUAAUAUCUAAACUCAUUAAUAUUCAAACCCGUCACUAAUUCAAUUAAAUUAAUAUGAUUAAAAAUUAAUUUAAAAUUAAUUUAAACUACUUUAACUCGUUUCAAACUCAGAUUAUUAUUAUUAGAAUAAAAUUCAUUUCAAAUCCAAUUAUUAUUAUUAUUCGAAUAAAAUUUAAAACCGUUUAAUCUUAUAUAUUUUAAUUAAUAAUUUAUAUAAAAAAUAUUUUUUAUUAAUAAUUUUCAUUAAAAAAUCUAAUAUUUUUAAAGACUAUUUAAAUUUAAAUUUUUAAAUAAAAAUAUAUAUAAAAAAAUAUUAUAAAUAUUAUUGUAAAAUAUAUUUUUUAUAUUAACUUAAUUAUUUAUAUAUAAUUAUAUAUAAAAAAUCCGAACCCACAACGAUAUUAUUUUUUAUAUCCACUCAAACCGACGGCUGAUAUUAUUUUUUAAAUUCAAACUGUCGUAAACCCAAUUAUAACUAUUCAAAUCCGUUCUAUUAGAAUUUCGAUCCAAUCGAGUACUAAAAAUACCCAUUCCUUUGCCAUCUCUUGUAAAAAUCUAAUGCAUGCAUGCAAAUAAACUUAGUCCCAACAGUAAAUGAAUAUUGAAGGCAUUCAUCAUGAGUUGAAUAAUUUACAGAACAUCCAUGGAAAAUAAAAGACAGAAGGGCCAGGAAUUUUUCCAAAAGCCUUCAGUUUUUUAAGGGUCUCAUUUUCCACGAUCUGAAUAUCAAAUAUCAUGUACAGACAACUGGAUUGCAAGCAUACAAGCAACUAAGGAUCAGCUUUGCCAGCAACUUGCUCAUCCUCGGAGCCAUAUUCAUCAUCACUCAGCUCCUCAUCACUUGAUUUUUCUUCCUGUUUGGCCCCAGCAUCCUCUGGUUUUGCAUAUUUCUCAGAGUAUUCUGGAAAUUAAACAGUUGGAAGUAACUGUUAAAUGACUCCAAGCAAUCACAAGCAACAAAUGAUUUAAAGAAAAUGAAGUAAAAGCCCUGUGCAAGCACUACAACAAGAAAAAGUUGUGGCAUUGCCUCUUAGUGAUGGUUUAGACUAACUUUCAUGAACAACACUUGACAACAAUGAAACAACAGGCUUAAGUCCAUUAUCUUAGAAAUUAAAUUAACAAUCAUCUUCUAUAGCAUAGACAUUAUAGAGGAACAAAGAGUUCCGUACAUUGCAAACCUUUUUUCAAGUUUUAUUGAACCUUCAAUGGAAUGGCUGCCAUUCAUUGUACAAAACAUUUAAUGACUUCAUGAUUGUCUUUCAGUUCAUAGAGUGCAACUCAAAUUUUAAAACAAAUCCCAUUUAAUAAAAAAUUCUUCAACAUCAUAUUAACUGCUUAAUUUAUAGUUUCUUCUAUCUGGGAUUAUAAAAAGAUUGUUCAACCAAGAGUGAAUCAGCAGUCAACAAGGAAUCAAAGGACUCAUCGAGCCAUUUGGGCCAUAUCGCUUCUGGCCCCCAGUUAUUUUCUAUGGAGUGAUUCCCAUGUCUGCAAAAUUUAUACUGUCUUCCCCUAAAUUAUUAUCAUCUAAUACCUCAAUCAUUGAACAUACUGAAACUAGAUUGAACCUUUAGAAUCAAUUCAAAAGGCAAUAGAUGAUAAUUUCACAUCACCUACUACAUAAAUAUAUUACUGCUUUUCCCAAACAAAGUCCUGGUAGGAAUAAAUAUUGUGUUUGAAGCUGCAAUUUUUUUGAAAUUCAACAAUGCAUCCAAUCUUCUUCUAUUAGCAUAACUUUAUAUUUAGUUAACCUUUUGAAUUAACAUAUAUAGCAGACAAACUGGAAAAAAUUUCAUUUGAUUUAAGAAGUAAUAGUUUCAGCACACCUUCAAGGUUCUAGAAAAUCAAGUCAAGAUUGAUUUACUUUCAAAGCAUCAAAUUGUGACUCAUGAAGGCUCAAGGCACAGUUUGAUGUCUCUAAGUGUCUUAAUUUUCUACUUAAUAGGUUGGCUUCCAUAUGAUCCAAUGGAAAAAGGGGCAAAUAAAACAAUUCAUGGUGUGCUAGGCAUGCCUGGAUACCUUGUUAGAUUCACAAGCAACUUCAAAGAGGCAGAUGCAAGAGAUGAUGGCAACAACCAAAUAGCUCUAGAAAGUGGAAACCAGUUAGUAAGUUGCACUUCUCACAGGCAUUGGAUUGAUAAACUAUAGAUACCAAGUUGGAUGCAAAAACACUAGCUUGGACUGGAAUUUCUUUUUACCACUCACUAGGUUAAAGUUGAAAGUGCAAGUUUCUUUGCUAGGUAAAGCACUCAAACCUCAAAAGAGGUCCUAGAAGCAUGAAUGGAGCAUGAUUACUGCUGUCCUAGGCACACCACAGAAUUUCUAAGUCCAGCCUCUUAGAUUCAUGAACCCCAUUGAUUCCCCCCCGUCAAACAUUGUGGAGUCAACAGCACCAAAAAGAAGAAAAUGCAGUUAAAACUGAAAGUAUUUUCAGUUUUCUUUCCCUUUUUUUAGACAGUCAAACUUUGUCAUAAUGUGAGUUCAUAAUCUGUGUUUAAAGUAGCUACCUUUCACUCUUUGUUCAUAUGCGGCGCGAUCACGCAUCAUGAGAGCAGCAGCUUCUCCAUUCAAUGGAUCAGAUGGAUUAGGAUACAAAAGAAGCUGAGGAAGGAAAACUUCAAAUACGUUUACCAGAUCUACAAAUUUAGGAAAAGGGGGAAAUCAAUAACUUCAGACUAUAAUUUCACAACUAAAAAUGAUGAAAAAAAAAAAUUCUAAGGAUGAAAGAAACAAAAUGAGAAGCUCUACAUAAAGUAUAUAAACUGUCUGCAGAAAAAACAAUGAUGCAGUAGUUUUACCAAACAUGGGGCUCCAAGUUUGGUUGAUAACAUCUAAACAAACUGAACCUGAACUGAAAUGCAAAUGCAGCCAACUAUUAGUGUUAGAACUUGUGUUCUUAAAAAUACACCAAAUACAAAGCACAAUAACAUUAAAAACAAGGCAAAGCAAUUGAAUUUUGAUAUGCAUUAGCUCACAUUUCAUCAACGUUUGGGUGAUAGAUCUUGUUGACAAAGCCAAUUGAUGGAGAUUUAUAAGGAUAUGCAUCUGGCAGUUCUACUCUUAUCCUCCACACCCCUCCUUGAUAAGGACCUGUCACGUUCCAAAGAAAACAACAAAUAAAAGAGAAUAACCUCUUUGUAAAACUCCUACAACUAAUCUACCAAUAUACUUUAUCAUCACUAAGGAAAACUAGUUAACAACAAAGUUGCAGCUCAUAUGAACCAAUAACACCAAUAACACGAUCCAUCACAAUCACACUCCACUCUACGCUAACAGAGUCUGGGCAUGUGUAGGUGAUCAAAACUAUUGAUUACAAAAUCAAAAAGACAGUCAAGAAGAAAAGGGGGAAAAAGGUAGAAAUUUUCAUUUGAUACAACUGCAAGUACAAAUCUACAGCUCAAAGCAUCUGCACAAGGUCAACACAGUUAUGCAAACAAUCAACUCAAAAAAUGAAAAGAAUCCACAAAGAGGAGAACAUCGAGGAAAG